UACGAAGGGGGCUAGCGUUGCUCGGAAUUACUGGGCGUAAAGGGCGCGUAGGCGGCACUGUUAGUCAGGCGUGAAAUCCUGGGCUCAACCUGGGGACUGCGCUUGAUACGGCGGAGCUAGAGGAUGGAAGAGGCUCGCGGAAUUCCCAGUGUAGAGGUGAAAUUCGUAGAUAUUGGGAAGAACACCGGUGGCGAAGGCGGCGAC
rnacentral:rRNA from 1 species